rnacentral:lncRNA from 1 species
AGUUGAAAUAGCCAUUUCUUUUCCAUGAUGUAGUGAAAAGGUUAACUAUAAUCAAAAGGAUUCACUCUUGACAUCAAAAUUUGAUUGACUUUUCACAAUACGAAGCCAAACAAAGUUAUUCGAUGUCUUUCACUCAUUUCUAGGAUAACUUUUGUUGUCAAGCUUGUUUAUGAAGAAUCUCUUCCUUGCGGCGUAUGAAUUGUGCCGGUGAAGCCUGUUAUCGUUGAGCUAAUCUUCUUCUGACCUUGUGCUAGCUUUGUUAGUCAUCCAUCACUACGAAUCGCGACGGCUCAGUUGUUUGUGACUUCUUUCUAGCUUCGUUCGAGCAGUCCUAAUCUUCAAUCAACAGCAUAAUAGUCGUCAAAAAGAACCAUCCAUCUUUCCGCACCUCCAUGUUCUGAGAGUCACAGCAGAAUCAUAUUGUUCUUCCCCUACGCCGAAUCUGCAAGCUAAAGAUGCCUCCUUUAAGCACAAAAGGAAAUGUGAACAAGGCUUUAAGUUUCUGUCGUUACAUCCAGUAAUCUGGUAAGAAGAGAAGAACAACCAGAAAGUAGAUUCCUCAGCCAGCUACUUGUAAUCAUGGUGGAAUUCUGAUGUGUGUUCUUGGUGAUGUGAGUGCUAAAGUUGAGAUCUUUGUUGAAAAGCAGAAGAAUAUUGCUGAGGCAGUACUUCAUUUCAACGCAUACUUGAGAGCGAAGGCAUUUGCUCUCUUCGUCGUGCUAAAAAAGCCUGCAAGCCAAACCAAAGCGCGUGUCGACGAACCUUCCGAAGAUUGCACCACUUCGUCCUCCGUUAUAUAUAGCCCCUCCAACUACACGUCGCUAGCGAAGCUUCCAAGCGUGGUAGCCCCCGAACUUGGGCCUUUUGGUGGUGGAGACCGAUGGCUGAAAAGCGUGGCUGGUUCAGGAAACUCAACAAGGAGCACCGUUGGCUGUGGAAACCCAGCUUCUCCACCUCAUGGUGGUGGAAGCGCCCCAGGCUCCGGUUUUCCCUCGUUGACGACCUCACCUUCCGUGUCCUCUACUUCCUUGAGGCCGUCGUCCUCGUCGGCGGUUUCUGCUGCUUCUUCCUCUUCUGUGGCUGCCACAUCUGAUCCAAAAUUCGAUUUUUCUCUUCUUCCGAUGUACAAGGGAUGGCUUUGGGUUGUAUUCUGUUCUUCUAUGAUUGCACAUCUUGUUGAUGUUGGUUGGUCACGGUUGCUGCCAUGGCCGCCCGGUCGAGGGAUCUUGCACACAGGGUGUUUGUGGAAGAAAGUACAGUGAUUGGAGUAGGAAUCGAGGAUGGUUUCAGGAGUGGAGAAAUGAGCGCAGAGACAACCGUAGUUGUUUGUGACUGUCCAGUCCGCUAAUUCUGCAGUGCUUUGACAUUAUUGGCGACAAUCUGAUCCUUAUUUUAGUCUGUGGAUUCGCUUAAGCUGAAGGCUCCUUGUCUGGGGUUGGAAAGAGGAAGAGUUAGAAUGCAUGCUGUCAGCAUAUUUGUUUAUGUCUGCUGAAUUCUAUAACUUACCCUGAUCAUUAUUCCUCAUAAAAAUUCUGGUCUUCUUUAUGCUAAAUACUUGAUGAAUGUCCUAAUGACAUCUUGAUGUCAGUUGAAGGUUACAUGCUGCUAAGAUUUCAUGUAUGAUUGGAAAUGUUAGCCCUUGAUGGCUCAAUUGAUUGCAGGCACUUGAGAUGUAGAUGUUACACAGCUUGAAAUGGUUGUGUAACAUUUCAAGAAGCAAAAAAUAUCUAUUGAGAGUGUGUGAUUUUAAGAAGCAAAAAAUAUCUUUUGAGAGUGUUUGAUUUGCUUGUGGUUGCUGAAUGCUUUGACUUAUUCUGAUUCAUCUUCUUGAUAAUAAUUUUGGUCUUGACAUGUUUGAUAAUGGAAUUCCUCAAGUGGAAGGUUAUAUGCUGCUGAAGCUUCAUCUUUUGGCUAUAAAUGUCAGCAUUUAGUGUAAUGGUCAGAUUUAGGUCAUCACUAAGGGGUGUAAUACUGAUGUUGCAAUCUAUUUAUACUCCAUAUCUUAGAUCAAUUGUCUUGCAGGCAUCUCAUAUUUUUGAUGUUUGAUCUUUUAAGUAACAAAGAUAUGCAUUCCGAGAGGCUUCUUUUUCAUCUUUAUUACCAUGCACUGUAGUAAACUACAUGACUCAAAUUCUUUCUUCUCAUUUGUGUCAGCUCUAAUUCUUCUUUUAAGUGACAAUUUUGUACAACAAAGAAUGGCACACUGUCAUUCUUAAUCAUUGUAUGUAAUUAUAUGAGCCCUUUUCUGUGAUUGGAUUCUUUAUCCUUCAUCAUGUAAAGACUGUUUUCCUUUUCUUUUAAGAGCUUC